UGUUAGUUGGUUUAUAGAAGUGAUAUCCAAAUGUUAAUUUAAGGAUACCCACAAGAUAAUUCUCAAACAAAUAUUGCUUAUUAGCACACAACCCCAAAUCUUAACAUGAUUAAGAUUUAUCUUUCUUUCCAACUACAUCUUAUGGAGUCAUGAAAUUUUGGAAGAUCUUCUAAUUGACAAUCAUAUUGUCUUAGAAGCAUAUAUCCUAUAUAUGGGUAAUUGAUAACGUCCAACGAACUAAAUCUUAUUCAAGUUCGUUCUUCUCCUAAUGGAGAAAUCCAUUAUCUUUUGA
rnacentral:lncRNA from 1 species